GUGUGUGUGUUUGUAUGUGUGUGUGUGAUUACGUAAAUGAAAACUUUCAAUUUCAGAGGAAAUUUCAAUGCCUCUAUGAAUAAAAAAAAAAGUGCACGGGAACAUUCCUUGCACAGGAGUUCUUUAAGAUGUUCUUGUAGAAAGGUUCGAAAGAGAGAGAAGGAGCGAGAAAAGCUGGCAGACACCGAAGAGAGAAGCUACAGAGAGCCGUGUGAAUGUUGACACAGCCCGGAAUAGACGUGAGGAGAGUUGAGAGAGUUCAGAGCUGUGGUGAAGAAGAAGAGGAGGAUUCUGGGGGAACACUCAACUUUGUAGCAAGAUGUUCCUCAGCCCCGGCUGCUGGUGUCUCCUGAAGUUAUCACAGUGAGAGGAUCAGUGCUUCUUCUCUGUGAUGUUCCACACCAUGUUAAAGUGUCUCAGUGUUUUUUCUACCCAGAGAAACAAAAGACAAAUCUAAAACUCUCUCCAUCAUGUCAGCUCUCAGUCACUGGUUCUGAACUGAUCAUGUGGACAGGACGCAGCUCUCCUGGAACACUUCAUAUUAUUUGUUACUACACUGAUACAUCAGGAAUUAAAGCUCCUUCUCCUCACUCUCUCCCAGCUCCAGUCACAGUGAUGUAUCAGAAACCAAAACUAAGUGUCAGUCAUGAUGAUCAGUCUGAUGAAAUCAGACUUGUAUGUGAAAUACCAGAGUCUGAGUCAGUAACUGCUGAUUUUAGCUGUAAUCUCUACACUGGAGAAAAUCCUCAGCCUUAUCUAAACCAAAGAUCUAAGAAGAGACAAAAAUCUGGGAAGCUGCAUUGUAUUUUUUCAGCACAGAGAAAUGAUGUGUUUAAUCGUCUGCAGUCAGUAAAGAGCAGUGAAGUGAGCUGUGAUUAUUCACUGAUCUCUGACCCGACUGCUCUCUCUCUAAUGAGUGAUAAAUACAAUCUGAUACCUUUCAUUCCUGCACUGACACAGACGUCCAUCACUGAAAUAUCUACUACAGGU